rnacentral:rRNA from 2 species
AGAGUUUGAUCCUGGCUCAGGAUGAACGCUGGCGGCGUGCCUAAUACAUGCAAGUCGAGCGAACGGACGAGAAGCUUGCUUCUCUGAUGUUAGCGGCGGACGGGUGAGUAACACGUGGAUAACCUACCUAUAAGACUGGGAUAACUUCGGGAAACCGGAGCUAAUACCGGAUAAUAUUUUGAACCGCAUGGUUCAAAAGUGAAAGACGGUCUUGCUGUCACUUAUAGAUGGAUCCGCGCUGCAUUAGCUAGUUGGUAAGGUAACGGCUUACCAAGGCAACGAUGCAUAGCCGACCUGAGAGGGUGAUCGGCCACACUGGAACUGAGACACGGUCCAGACUCCUACGGGAGGCAGCAGUAGGGAAUCUUCCGCAAUGGGCGAAAGCCUGACGGAGCAACGCCGCGUGAGUGAUGAAGGUCUUCGGAUCGUAAAACUCUGUUAUUAGGGAAGAACAUAUGUGUAAGUAACUGUGCACAUCUUGACGGUACCUAAUCAGAAAGCCACGGCUAACUACGUGCCAGCAGCCGCGGUAAUACGUAGGUGGCAAGCGUUAUCCGGAAUUAUUGGGCGUAAAGCGCGCGUAGGCGGUUUUUUAAGUCUGAUGUGAAAGCCCACGGCUCAACCGUGGAGGGUCAUUGGAAACUGGAAAACUUGAGUGCAGAAGAGGAAAGUGGAAUUCCAUGUGUAGCGGUGAAAUGCGCAGAGAUAUGGAGGAACACCAGUGGCGAAGGCGACUUUCUGGUCUGUAACUGACGCUGAUGUGCGAAAGCGUGGGGAUCAAACAGGAUUAGAUACCCUGGUAGUCCACGCUGUAAACGAUGAGUGCUAAGUGUUAGGGGGUUUCCGCCCCUUAGUGCUGCAGCUAACGCAUUAAGCACUCCGCCUGGGGAGUACGACCGCAAGGUUGAAACUCAAAGGAAUUGACGGGGACCCGCACAAGCGGUGGAGCAUGUGGUUUAAUUCGAAGCAACGCGAAGAACCUUACCAAAUCUUGACAUCCUUUGACAACUCUAGAGAUAGAGCCUUCCCCUUCGGGGGACAAAGUGACAGGUGGUGCAUGGUUGUCGUCAGCUCGUGUCGUGAGAUGUUGGGUUAAGUCCCGCAACGAGCGCAACCCUUAAGCUUAGUUGCCAUCAUUAAGUUGGGCACUCUAAGUUGACUGCCGGUGACAAACCGGAGGAAGGUGGGGAUGACGUCAAAUCAUCAUGCCCCUUAUGAUUUGGGCUACACACGUGCUACAAUGGACAAUACAAAGGGCAGCGAAACCGCGAGGUCAAGCAAAUCCCAUAAAGUUGUUCUCAGUUCGGAUUGUAGUCUGCAACUCGACUACAUGAAGCUGGAAUCGCUAGUAAUCGUAGAUCAGCAUGCUACGGUGAAUACGUUCCCGGGUCUUGUACACACCGCCCGUCACACCACGAGAGUUUGUAACACCCGAAGCCGGUGGAGUAACCUUUUAGGAGCUAGCCGUCGAAGGUGGGACAAAUGAUUGGGGUGAAGUCGUAACAAGGUAGCCGUAUCGGAAGGUGCGGCUGGAUCACCU